AUUGAACGCUGGCGGCAGGCCUAACACAUGCAAGUCGAACGCGUGGCGGACGGGUGAGUACUGUCUGGGAAACUGCCUGCUGGAGGGGGAUAACUACUGGAAACGGUAGCUAAUACCGCCUACCAUCGGAUGUGCCCAGAUGGGAGUAGCUAGUAGGUGGGGUAAAGGCUCACCUAGGCAACGAUCCCUAGCUGGUCUGAGAGGAUGACCAGCCACGCUGGAACGUAGACACGGUCCAGACUGCUACGGUAGGCAGCAGUGGUGAAUAGUGCACAAUUGGCGCAAGCCUGAGGCAGCCAUGCGGCGUGUAUGAAGAAGGACUUCGGGUUGUAAAGUACUUAAAGCGGGGAGGUGUUGCCAGCAGAAGAAGCGCCGGCUAACUCCGUGCCAGCCGCCGCGGUAAUAC
rnacentral:rRNA from 1 species